AUACUUACCUGGAAGGGAAGAUACCAUGAUCAUGAAGGUGGUUUUCCCAGGGCGUGACUUAUUCAUUACACUGUGGAUUGGUUGACCUCUGUGAUUUCCCCAAAUGUGGGAAACUGAACUGCAUAAUUCAUGGUAGUGUGGCCGGGGAGAUAGCUCAGUUGAA
ensembl:snRNA U1 U1 spliceosomal RNA